AAAAGAAAGGAAGAAACAGUCAAACAGAGCAAAUCUCCCAGACUCGCUCUUCCCAAAAAUGGCAACACGGCAGUUUCAUUAAAACCUCUAGGAGGAGCUCCAGUGCCUCCUUUGACAGCAAAGUCACUGAUCACUCCUAAGACUGUCAAACGCUCUCUGGCGGCGUUUAAAGACAUUUUUGCUUCAGUCAUAGAGUCUUCGACUGUGGACAGACGUCAGACUAACAGAUGUGAUGUCAGAUCACGUCCGUCUGAGGAAAUCUGUGUAGCAGGCAGUAACACUCAUGCAGCUGACAACAGCCCAGACAACCAGGAGACCACACAAGACAGCAGGUCACAAGUCCACAGGAGUGGGCCGUCCUCCAUGAUUGAGCUGGAAGACUAUGAAGACGCUGACAGCAUAAGUGGGUUUUAGAUUACAUUAAAACAUUUUCCAACAGUUUCAUCUUUUAAAGAACAUUUUACAAAAUUCUCUGAAAAGAAAGCUUCACUAUAACAUUUAAUAAAGUGUAAAGACUAAAACACUGGCUGCUUCACUCGCAGUAAAAAUGAGACGGGAUGAGCUGAAGUCAUUAAAAUGCUUUUACUUUACAUGAGAAAGAAAUCUAAUCAACAAGGAUUUAAUGUUAUUGGCUUGUUUCCAUUUUGGGUCAGAUUUCAAGCUGAUGCCCAGAACCAUUAAGCUCUGUGAUCAUCUGAUAUUUCAUUCAUAAUCUCUCCUAGUCUCAGUGUUUCUGAUCCUGCAGGCAUCUGCAGACAGUCAGACAAACCACUAUAAAGUGCAGUGUUUGUGGACGGUCCUUUCUACAAAUAUUAUAGUAUCAGUAAUUGAAGUGGGAACUUGGGGCACUGGCACUUUUUAAAACCUGGAUGAAUAAGUAAAUAACUGAGAGCUGGUUUUCACAAUGAUUUUCAGACCAACUAGGAAAAAAAACUGUCAGUCCCACAAACGACCAAACAGAUAAAGAGACUCAGAAAUGGUUUUGAAUCAGAAUCAUUAGAGGAGGAAUUUAAAAGUACUGAAGCUUUUCCUUUGUUGUUACAUAGUAGUAUAACCAGCUGAGGCCUAAUCUAGUGUUUGUUGUGAAGGAAUCACUGUGUCAUGUAAAUGAAUCCGUCACAUUUGACAUUUUCGUCUGUCAAGCUGGCGAUACGAGCAUUCAUACUGCAAUAUUUACAGCCCUAAAAUGGUAGCCCUUGUUAACCUCAGUUGGCUUGAAUAUAAAUGAUAAAUAACU
rnacentral:lncRNA from 1 species